rnacentral:rRNA from 1 species
UACGUAGGGUGCAAGCGUUGUCCGGAAUUAUUGGGCGUAAAGCGCGCGUAGGCGGCCUUGUAAGUCCGUUGUGAAAGUCAAAGGCUCAACCUUUGAAAGCCGAUGGAUACUGCAGGGCUAGAGUCCGGAAGAGGCGAGUGGAAUUCCUGGUGUAGCGGUGGAAUGCGCAGAUAUCAGGAGGAACACCAAUAGCGAAGGCAGCUCGCUGGGACGGUACUGACGCUAAGGCGCGAAAGCGUGGGGAGCGAACAGG